GAGCGAGCGGCGGGCUCUGGGCUUCGGGCUCCGCGCCCAGGGGUGGGCAGCCUGCUCUGCGCCAGCGGCGUCGGCCCGGAGAUGAGCGGGGUCUGGCUGCAUCCUGAGGCAGGGGGUUCUUGGCAAGCUUCCUGCCCAUGGGCAUGACUAUGUGACAUCGUCAUGACUGGAACAGUGCUAGCCGACCUGUGACCAUGACGUGUCAAGCUCAAGAAUAAAACUCAACACGUGAAGACGGUGAAGCAAAAAGCUGGAAUGAGCCUGGGGUCCCUGAUGACUGAUUUGCUGUCAAACCGACCCUGAAACCACCCCCCUCCAUACUUCCUGUUGAGUACACAAAUGUCAUACAGUUAAAGCUUUAUAAAUGAA